GACGAACGCUGGCGGCGUGCUUAACACAUGCAAGUCGAACGCUGAAGCUCAGCUUUUGUUGGGUGGAUGAGUGGCGAACGGGUGAGUAACACGUGAGUAACCUGCCUCCUUCUUUGGGAUAACGCCCGGAAACGGGUGCUAAUACUGGAUAUUCACUGGUCUUCGCAUGGGGGUUGGUGGAAAGGGUUUUUCUGGUGGGGGAUGGGCUCGCGGCCUAUCAGCUUGUUGGUGGGGUGAUGGCCUACCAAGGCUUUGACGGGUAGCCGGCCUGAGAGGGUGACGGGUCACGUUGGGACUGAGAUACGGCCCAGAGUCCUACGGGAGGCAGCAGUGGGGAAUAUUGCACGAUGGGCGCAAGCAUGAUGCAGCGACGCCGCGUGAGGGAUGGUGGCCUUCGGGUUGUGAACCUCUUUCGCUAAUGGUCAAGCCGCAACAAUGGUUGUGGUGAGGGUAGUGGGUAAAGAAGCGCCGGCUAACUACGUG
rnacentral:rRNA from 1 species